rnacentral:rRNA from 1 species
UACCUAGUUGAUCCUGCCAGUAGCAUAUACUUGUCUCAAAGAUUUAGUCAUGCAAGGCUAAGUACACAUGGGUAGUACAGUGCAACUAUGAAUGGCUCAUUAAAUCAUUUAUGGUUCCUUUGGUCACUCCAACCAUUACUUGGAUAACUGUUGUAAUUCUAGAGCUAAUACACAUUGAUAUGUGCAUUUAUCAGAUCAAAACCAACUCUGGUUCACGCGACCACCUUGGGUGUUGGUAGGAGAACCCAGCCUCACCCACUCCACUACGCUCCAGCUCAGGGCCCAUGAGCUGAAUAAGCAGGAUCAGGGUUCUUUGAUUCUGAUAAUGCCCUAAGUUUCUUCCUACCUUCCCCUGGAUCUCUUCAGGCUCUCUAGCCUAUUGGUCAGUUCGUCCCCUCCUGGGUUGUUGUCUCUGGGAAGAUCUUUAGGAGCUGGCUGUCAGAAGCUCAUUUUGUCAGUCUGCUCACUCCUCCGAGUAGCCACACCGCCUCUCAGAUCUUUUAUCCUCCAAGCUGCUAUGAGGCUGUCAAUCAGCAGUGGCUGGUAGUGCCUAUGAUAACCUUUUGGUCACUAGGCCAGCAUGGGGUACAUACACCCCAUGACAAGCAAUAACAGGUCUGUGAUGCCCUUAGAUGUCCAAGGCUGCACGUGGGCUACAUUGACUGGCGCAGUGUGUGUCUACCCUACUCCAACAGGUGCAGAUAACCCGCUGAACCAUUUGUGAAGUGGAUUGGGGAUUGCCAUUAUUCCCCAGGAAUGAGGAAUUCACAGUAAAUGCAGAUCAUAAGCUCACAUUAGUUAAGUCCCUGCUCUUUGUACAGACCGCCUGUCACUACUACUGAUUGGAUGGUUUAGUGCAGUCCUUGGAUGGCCCUGCCAAGGUUGGUCAUGAGCCUGGUGGGUGGAGAGGAUGAUUGAACUUGGCUAUGUAGAGGAUGUAAAAGUCGUAACAAGGUUUCCAUAGCUAAACCUGUGGAAGGAUCAUUA